ensembl:lncRNA
GUGCUCACUCAGCAAAUGGGCUGGGACUUGAGUUGCUGCAUUUCCACCAAGUCCCCACAUGAGAGACGUGCUGCUGGGCUACAGACCCCACAGUGAGUAGCAAAGAAUUAGAAUACAUGAGAGAAGAAAGGUUACCCUCUCUCACGAUGCUGUUGGAGGGAAGAUGAUAGGAAAGGAAUGAAGAGGCGUCACAAGUGACCCUUACUGGGCUGUCAGAAGCAGUGCAGGCUCACUGUGUCUUCUGGGAAGGCUCCCUUCCUUGGCAUUGUCCAUUUGCAGUGGCAGGAACGAGCCCACAUGUGUGCCUGUGUACUGUCACGUCCUCCCGGCACAGAUCUCUUGGACUUCCCCAUGGCUUCUGUUCUCAGAAAGCCCAUGUGGCAGGAUGCUGGCUGCACAACUUCAGGGAGCAGGUCCAGCCAAAACUUGAAGCCAAUUUACCUUCUCCAUGCUGCAGAGUUGCGGUGGGCAUCCGAGUUGAGAUAGCCUUGAAGAAAUCUUCCUGAGACCCCAGAUCCAUCAUGCACCUUGUAUGGUUCCUUCGCAAUGUCUUUCCUCAUCUACCUGCCUUCCACUGAUGGACUGAGAUUAAGGUCUGCAAUCUGUAAUGCGAGGAAAUUAAACCUGCCACUGACUGUCAUAUCGAUUUACCAUCUGCUGUUCCAGGUGUUUGCUUGAUUUUUAAAGGCUGUGAAGUGAGCUCCCUUACAACUUGUCUGCAAAGGUAGAAGUCUUCUCAAAUGCUUUGCUUGAAUCUCCAAUGUGAUAUGCUUUUGAGACUUGUAAGGUAACUGUGAGCCAUGUGGAUAUGUCACAUGUGCCGACUACAGGUGUUUUAAAUGGGACAAGGUAGGACAGAGUUGUCACCAACCUAAAUGAAAUAAUAGUUAUAAUAUCUCAACAAGACAGUGAGAAGCACAGCAAAAUAUCCAAAGAAGCAUUUCAUUGAUCAAGAAAGAUCCCUGCCUCUUGUUACCUUUGCUGUCUUGUGCAUGCCAUGUUGUUUCUGCUCUGCCAUGCUGUUUGUCAUCACUGUCUUGGAGCCAGCUGAUUGUGGACUGAAACUUCCACAAACUUUAAGCCAAAUAAACCCCAUCCCCUCUAAUUUCAGGUGUUGGGUAUUUUGUCUCAGCAAUGAAAUAAAAGUAACUAACACAGAAAUUUGGUAACAGAGAAAUGGGGCUGUUGCUGUGACAUUACCUGGCCAUGUGGCUCAAAAGCCUUUGGAAUUGGCUUGUGGGGAAGGAGAAAAGUUAGGAAAGAUCUGGAGAUGCUGGCUACAGAAGCAGUGCUGGAAUGCCUUAGGCUGUUUUGUAUGGGAGAUUCUGGCCAGAGCUCAGAAGACCAGAAAGCCAGUAAAGACCAGGCUCAGGAGAUUUCUGCUGGGAAAAAGGACUCCAUUGGCUGUUGGACCCCAGAUGAUGUGUGUUAUGGCUUGGCAAAAAGUUUGUCUGCAUUUUGUUCAUGUCCAGAGACUUUGCCUGAGACUGAGAUUAGGCAUGGUGGACUAAUUAAUCUUGCAGAAGAAAUUUCAAGGCGGUCAAAUGUUGAGGCAGUGGCAUGGGGACUUUUAACCAGAUCUUUGGUGAGAAUCAAGAGCAAAAAGCCCAGAAGAAUGAUUAAACAUGUUUUGAGUUUGGCCAGAAAGGAAGCUCCAGUAAAGCUGUGGACUUCAAAGAGAGCAGAGAAGGUUUUGGUUGCUGAGAAGGAAGUGGAAAAUAGAAAAGAUGGCCUGUUUACAAAGACUUGGAAAAUAAUUAUGAUAUUUUUAUUAUUAUGGUGAUUGGUAAGUGAAUGUGUUAGUAUAGCUUCUGCUAUGGUUGUUUUGAGUCAGCCAUUAUUAGAAUUUAUUUUUGAUUUCUGUUCAUGGGGGGGGUAAUUAUAUUAUAGAGUGAAAUAUGAAAAAAAACUUGAGGUUAUACCUGGUGUAUGGAAAAUGCUUAGGGAUUGCUCAAGAUAUCACCUAAUAACAUACAGCAGGUGGUGUCAGCAUUUGUGUUGGAAAUCUAGAUUUGGGCAGAUGGAAAAUUGAAUCUUUAACCCCCAAGGUCAUAAUAGCAUAUCGUCACUUCAUUUGAUCCUCCUACUAAUUGAGCUUGUCAAAUACAGUACACUGCUGCCAUUUCCUGUUACUUCCAUUUUCAUAAUAAAAUUAAAUUGAAAUAGUUAAAAAAAAAAAAAAGAAAAGAUGGCCUGAGGACAUGACAGGAAGCAGCAGAACUCCACCCUUUGCAGCCUCAAAAUUGUAAAAGUGAAGGACUUUGCCUUGAGAAGUAAAUCCCAGAGUACCACGUUCAGAAUGGCAGUAGCCUAGGGAAGUUGUUCCAAAAUGGCAGCUUAGGGAAGUUGUUCCUCAAAAUUGGAUUCAGAGUGCUAAGCAAUCCAGGCAUUCAACCCCUACAGCCAAGAGAGAGGGAAGACUGGCUACUACUGCUCCAGCUGGCCACAGACCUUGGCAUCAUCCACAUGGCACUGGUUUUAGGUGCAUGCAGAAUGCAAGAGUUGUGGGGUCAGGGAGGCUUCCACCCAGAUUUCAGAAGAAGGCCUUGGAGGCCAGGCAGUGUGCCUCUGAGAAGCCAGUGUGUGAAGCUGUGAGUGUGAAGCAAAAGGUGCAGUGGAGACCCCAGAAGUAUGGAGAAGCCAGGAGUGUGGAUUGUCUGAGGAAAACUGCAAAGAGGGAGCAGAGCCAGCCCCAGAGAGAAACCACGGGAGCUACACCCACAGGAAAUGCCAUAGGGCAGAACCACCCAAGCCCUUUGAAGUUCACAACUUGCCAGAGAUUGCCGUGGAUGCUGGAAGUGAACUGUGGAAUGUAAUGUUUGGUCUGCUGGAUUUUGGACUUACUUUGGUCCUAUUCCUUUGUAUCCUCGUGUAUGUACCUUUCGGAAUGGUAAUAUCUGUCCUGUGCCAUUGAAUGUUGGAAGUGUUUGAGUUUCUUUUCUUUUGUACAGGGGUUUGCAGCCACAACUUAGCCUUAAAUCUCAGAGGAGACUUUCGACUUGGACUUUUCAGCAAUGCUGAAACUGUUAGGACUUUGGCAACUCUUAGAGUUGGACUAAAUGGGGAGUUUUUUACAUAAAGGGAUAUGCAUGAGUCUUUUGGGGGCCAGGAUGGAAUGUUUUGGUUUGUGUUUAGAUGUACUCCCCAAAGCCUCAAGCAGAUGAGGUAGGACUUUCUUUUUCAGAGGUAGUUGAAUCUGGAAUGUGUGAUGCUGGGGUUAAGGGCAUGUUGUUACUAAACCACUGCAUGUGAGUGAUUAGUUUGCAACUGCCCUAAUCCCAGUGGUCUGUAUGGAAUAAAAGAGGCAGAAACACUUGGUGAAGGUCUCUUGUUAUCUCUGCUGACUUGUGUGCACCAUGUUGUUUCUGCUCUGCCAUGCCUGUUUGUCAUCCCUGUCUUGGAGCCAGCUGAUUAGGGACUGAAACUUGAAUGAACUGUAAGCCAAAUAAACCCCUUCCCCUCUAAAAAAAAUAAAUAAAUAAAAAGAACUCUGAUCAAUAAAUAUUUGAUUAUCAUUUAUAUGUGUUAGUCUUAUGAAAAGCUAACUGGGGAAUAUUUUGUUAAUUAAGGUUUUAAAAAGGUCUCAGGUAGGGGCUGGGGAUUUAGCUCAGUGGUGCCACUGCCUACCUCACAAGUACAAGGUCCUGAGUUUGAUCCCCGCUACCAAAAAAAAAAAAGGUCUCAGGUAGCAUUUUGUUUGAGACUCUUAUCUAGGACAUGAGCUUGGAAUUCCAGAUUUAAAUACUACUCCAUUAUUUUGAUGCAAAAUUGAGAUAUAUCUAUACAUUUACAGUGGUACCUCAGUUCACAAACUUAAUUCAUUCCACAAUUCUGGAAAAGAUGAAUAUGUUCAUGUUUGUCACCCAAUGCAGAGUUUGAAGACAAAAUAAAUUUGCUGAAUGCUUCUGUUUGUGAACCAAAUUUUUUGCAAAUAAAAGUAUUCAUGAACCGAGGUACCAUUGUAUAUGUGUGUAUACAGUUAUAUACAGAAAAGUACACAUAGAAUAAGCAUACAGCUCAGUUAAUAUUCAUGAAG